rnacentral:rRNA from 1 species
AUGAAGAACGUAGCAAAAUGCGAUACUUGGUGUGAAUUGCAGAAUCCCGUGAACCAUCGAGCCUUUGAACGCAAGUUGCGCCCGGAGCCGAGAGGCCGAGGGCACGCC